rnacentral:rRNA from 1 species
CACGUAGUUAGCCGGAGCUUCCUCCUUAGGUACUGUCUUUUAUCUUCCCUAACGACAAUAGUUUACAAUCCGAAAACCUUCUUCCUAUACGCGGCGUCACUGCGUCAGAGUUUCCUCCAUUGCGCAAUAUUCCCGACUGCUGCCUCCCGUAGGAGUCUGGGCCGUAUCUCAGUCCCAAUGUGGCCGUUCAACCUCUCAGUCCGGCUACUGAUCGUUGCCUUGGUGUGCCAUUACCACACCAACUAGCUAAUCAGACGCAAGCUCAUCUAUUAGCGGAUUACUCCUUUCCCACUAGAACCAUGUGGUUCUUAUGGCAUAUGCGGUAUUAGCAAUGAUUUCUCACUGUUAUUCCCCUCUAAUAGGCAGAUUGCUUACGCGUUACUCACCAGUCCGCCACUAACCGCUUCUCAAUAUAAAUAUUAAGAUUAAGUCCGUUCGACUUUGCAUGUCUUAUGUGCGCCGCCAGCGUUUAUCCUGAGCCAGGAUCAAACUCU